GCAUCAAAAUUCGUCGACGUUCAAAUCGUCGACUUGUAUCGUUUUUAUCGACUAUCGUUCAUUUCCCACUAGUUGCAUUGGUAUUAGUGACAACCUGGAUUUUGAUAAUCCAAAACAAAACGAUCAUCCGGGUGGUUCUCGCAGUACUGUUUAUCCGAAACUUUUGCCGAGAAUUAUUAAUUUACGCGUUUUAUUUUUCUUUGGAGUUUCACUAGUUUUAAUACAAAUUAAAUUUUUAUACAUAUUGCCUGUGAGGAUAAUAACAAAUCCGAAGACGAGAUGGUGAUGCCGUACAAAUCGGCAUCCGGAGAGUCCGGAAGGUGCUUUCAAGAAUCCAGAUUGUACCACACAUCGGUUAGCUGGCUGGAAUGGGGAUCGUGGCUUUGAUAUCGAGCUGGAAGACGAUAUUGCCGCUUGGUGUGAGAACUUCCACGAUAAUUAUAAGACAAUCUAGGAACCGCGGAUUUCCUAGCGACUGCGGAUGUUCUAUACGAACACGCGAAAUCCAUAUAAGUGCAACUGAAGCUGUGUGCUAACUGUCCGGACCAUAAUUCACCGCAGAGCAAUUAGCUGGCGUACACGGAGCUUGAUGAGACGCCGCGUAAUGUUCUGCAUAAUUGUGAACUACGGUGCCGCGAGAUGAUCACCCCGAAAGUACAAAGUACGGAAGAUAAUUGCUCGACAGCACAGAAGCUGGCUAGAUUCCGUUAGAUCUGGACCUGUUAGAUGGAUUCGAUGAGCAUACUUUGUGAUGCCACUGUUUAUUCAAGAUAAGAUGUCGAUUGCUGAAGACCGUCUGAAUAGGGCCGACUGUGGGACACUGUUUCGGAAACGGAACGAGAACUGCAGCUGGAACUGGUGUGUUUGGUUGAACGUUGAACUUUAAGGAUCAACUGGAGGCUAUCAGAUAGGCCUCCCAUUAUCAGAUCAAACGGAACGAUCUUCCCCUACUUGUGCAAGAUUACUGAGAAACCAAGUAGUUGCGGCAAGAUAUCGAGGGCGAACAAUGGGAUGUCCCCGAGAAUGAACCCGCGCAUACGCUCCGGCUGGAUGAAUUCCAGGUUCAUCUGGUGGACUCGAAGGACAUACUUCUCGCCAUGUUAUCGGAACUCAGGCGGCAGUCGGUUAUUACCGACCUUAAUCGGUGCAAACAAGAUUCCCCACAUUCAGCUGGCCAAGUGGGACGAUGUGUAAAUGAUCUGGCCAUCCAGCUGGAGCCGUCGGAUUGGACCUUGACGAAGAAAGUGUUCAACCAAGAUUUUCUAAGCUGUCGUUUGCUCUACCAAAAUGUUCAUAUUUUAAAAGGCACUGUAGUCUUCCAAUGUGAUUUAUAGGAUUUAUAGCACCUCGAAGGCAUCGGUCAUAUCCUAGGAACUAUGCUUACACGGGGGACCGUGUAGAAACACUGGAAAAUCUGAAAAUAUUGAAAAUGUUCUCACCUUUGAAUAUCCGAAGAUUGUUUCAGAGAGUUCAAGCAGAAAGGGAGGUGGUAAUGUAGCAUGGGUGGAUUCUAGGGAUUAGUGUAGAGGUGGCAAGGGAAGGUUGAAGGGUUUGGAGGAGGAGAAUCCAUACUGGUUUUAAGGAGGGUUUCAGAGAAUUUUUAGAGGUUCUUCUUCUUUAGGGCUCUACGUCCCCACUGGGACUUGGCCUGCCUCGCUUCAACUUAGUGUUUUUUAGCACUUCCACAGUUAUUUUUAGAGGUGUCAAGGACGGUUCAGACUUUAGACGGACAAAUCAAAAGAUCAAGGACACUGUCAUAAAGUGUUCAAGAGGAUAUAAGGCGUUGUUUGGGUGGGACAUAAGGCUUAGGGGUGUAGGGGUGUUCCAGGACAUUUUCAGCAGAUCUACAUACGUUAUCAAUGGGGUUUUGUUACCAUUCUUCUGAUGUGCAACAUUCUAUAGGUCUAUGAAUUAUAGAGUUAUGUCCAUAAAUGUAGAAGGUCCUCCACAAGCUCUCGCGAAUAUAGGCAUCAAGAUACAUGCAUAUACAUACAUACAUUUAUUUGUUCAACAUCACAUUUAAGACAAGACAUAACCAACAAUAGUACGUCAGGCCAGGCCAGUAGGCAUCAAGAUCUACAAGCGUAAUCAACAGAUUGUUACAUAAAUGAUACAGUGCAAUACAUACAGAGCCAUUGAGCAUUGUUCUUUAAAGAACAAAUUUACAAAGAUAUUCUAGGUCAUCCAAGGACGAGAGUAAAAGCCUUGAGAUCUACAAGCGUAAUCCAUGGAUUGUUGUUACAUUACUGACACGGUGCACCAUCAUAACUGGAGCAUUGUUCUGUGAAGAACUUAUUUUCAACGAUGUUCUAGGUCCUCCAAGAACUUCCGCGAGUGAAGGUCGUCUGAUCUACAAGGGUAACCAAUGACCUUUUCUUAUUCUACUGUUUCGGUAUUAGCCGCCGUUCAUAAAUAACGUAACGCUCCAGGGGGAGGGGGCGAGUACGGCCAAGCUUUACGGCCCUUACAAAAAAGAUUUUCAUACAAAAAAGCAUUACGGAGGGGAGAGGGGGGUCGAAAAACGUCGAUUUGAGCGUUAUGUAAUAAAAGGAUGCUGCCAGAGCCUUUUAGAUGUUAAUGCCUAUAACUCAAAGGGUUUAAGGCUUGGUUUAAGAACAAACGUCUUGACAUCCCGCUUUAACAGUGCAUCAAAACUUCAAACGCACAAAUCUCAAGAAACAAGCUUCACAACAAAACAUUUCAUUAUUCUGUUCUUGCUCACUUGUAAUAAAAACCUAAAAUAAGAAGAUCAGGUGCGCUGGUUUUGUUUACGAAGAGAUUUGUGCCAUCGAUAUCGUGAGGAGGUGCCAAAGUCGGCAAUUUUGGGGUUCUAACAAGUUUGUCCUUAAAGAGUGAACCUAAUCUAUGUAGAGUUGCAAUGGGAUUCAUAAGAUUUAUUCUGAUAGUU